rnacentral:rRNA from 1 species
AGAGUUUGAUCCUGGCUCAGAUUGAACGCUGGCGGCAGGCUUAACACAUGCAAGUCGAGCGGAAACGAUCCUAGCUUGCUAGGAGGCGUCGAGCGGCGGACGGGUGAGUAAUGCAUGGGAAUCUGCCCGAUAGUGGGGGACAACCUGGGGAAACUCAGGCUAAUACCGCAUACGUCCUACGGGAGAAAGCAGGGGAUCUUCGGACCUUGCGCUAUCGGAUGAGCCCAUGUCGGAUUAGCUUGUUGGUGAGGUAAUGGCUCACCAAGGCGACGAUCCGUAGCUGGUCUGAGAGGAUGAUCAGCCACACUGGGACUGAGACACGGCCCAGACUCCUACGGGAGGCAGCAGUGGGGAAUAUUGGACAAUGGGCGAAAGCCUGAUCCAGCCAUGCCGCGUGUGUGAAGAAGGCCUUCGGGUUGUAAAGCACUUUCAGCGAGGAAGAACGCCUUGGGAUUAAUACUCUCGAGGAAAGACAUCACUCGCAGAAGAAGCACCGGCUAACUCCGUGCCAGCAGCCGCGGUAAUAC